rnacentral:rRNA from 1 species
AGAACGAACGCUGGCGGCAGGCUUAACACAUGCAAGUCGAACGCUCGUAGCAAUACGGGAGUGGCAGACGGGUGAGUAACGCGUGGGAACAUACCCUCCGGUUCGGAAUAGCUCAGGGAAACUUGGAUUAAUACCGGAUACGGCUGAGAGGCGAAAGAUUUAUCGCCGGAGGAUUGGCCCGCGUUCGAUUAGCUUGUUGGUGAGGUAACGGCUCACCAAGGCGAUGAUCGAUAGCUGGUCUGAGAGGAUGAUCAGCCACAUUGGGACUGAGACACGGCCCAAACUCCUACGGGAGGCAGCAGUGGGGAAUAUUGGACAAUGGGCGCAAGCCUGAUCCAGCCAUGCCGCGUGAGUGAUGACGGCCUUAGGGUGUAAAGCUCUUUCGCUCGGACGAUAAUGACGGUACCGAGAUAAGAAGCCCCGGCUAACUUCGUGCCAGCAGCCGC